GGGAACUAGUACAUGGUUCAAGUACUUCGAUGCUUGAAGGCCUCCUAGUGUGAUAAUUAUCUACGCUGCUGGCUUAGUCGUUGUGCGUAUUGUCCAUGGAAUGCUCUUGCUUCUAACUGUCUCGCAAGGGACUAGUCCGCUCAAGGGCUACUAAUGACUAUUGUGACCUCAAAUCAGGUGGGACUACCCGCUGAACUUAA
rnacentral:misc_RNA from 1 species